GACGAACGCUGGCGGCGUGCUUAACACAUGCAAGUCGAACGGUGAAGCGCCUUCCUUUUUGGUGGGUGUGGAUGAGUGGCGAACGGGUGAGUAACACGUGAGUAACCUGCCCCCUUCUUCUGGAUAACCGCAUGAAAGUGUGGCUAAUACGGGAUAUUCUGGGUCUGUCGCAUGAUGGGUCUGGGAAAGAUAUUGUUUCGGUGGGGGAUGGGCUCGCGGCCUAUCAGCUUGUUGGUGGGGUGAUGGCCUACCAAGGCGGUGACGGGUAGCCGGCCUGAGAGGGUGGACGGUCACACGGGGACUGAGACACGGCCCAGACUCCUACGGGAGGCAGCAGUGGGGAAUAGUGCACAAUGGGCGCAAGCCUGAUGCAGCGACGCCGCGUGAGGGAUGGAGGCCUUCGGGUUGUGAACCUCUUUCGCCAGUGAAGCAGGCCUGCCUCGUUUGUGGGUGGGUGGACGGUAGCUGGAUAAGAAGCGCCGGCUAACUACGU
rnacentral:rRNA from 1 species